rnacentral:tRNA from 1 species
GGCGAGAUGGCUGAGCGGUCUAAGGCGCCAGACUAAGGAUCUGGUCCUCCGGGGCGUGGGUUCGAAUCCCACUCUCGUCA